AUACGUAGGGAGCGAGCGUUGUCCGGAAUUACUGGGUGUAAAGGGAGCGUAGGCGGGAUGGCAAGUCAGAUGUGAAAACUAUGGGCUCAACCCAUAGACUGCAUUUGAAACUGUUGUUCUUGAGUGAAGUAGAGGUAAGCGGAAUUCCUGGUGUAGCGGUGAAAUGCGUAGAUAUCAGGAGGAACAUCGGUGGCGAAGGCGGCUUACUGGGCUUUUACUGACGCUGAGGCUCGAAAGCGUGGGGAGCAAACAGGAUUAGAUACCCUGGUUGUCCACGCUGUAAACGAUGAUUACUAGGUGUGGGGGGACUGACCCCUUCCGUGCCGCAGUUAACACAAUAAGUAAUCCACCUGGGGAGUACGGCCGCAAGGUUGAAACUCAAAUGAAUUGACGGGG
rnacentral:rRNA from 1 species